rnacentral:ncRNA from 1 species
GAACUACGACCGCAAGGCUGAACUGAAAGAAUGACGGGAAGGGCACACCAGGGGUGGAGCCUGUGGCUUAAUUUGAAUCAACACGGGGAAACUUACCAGGACCAGAUGUUUUUUAUGACUGACAGGCUUCGGGUCUUUCAGGAUAUUGUUUUUGGUGGUGCAUGGCCGUUGGUGGUGCGUGGGUUGACCUGUCUAGCGUUGAUUCAGCUAACGAGCGAGAUUAUCGCCAAUUAUUUACUUUGCCGAAGUCCUUCGGUUAAAGUUCUAAUUGGGACUCCCUGCGAUUUUAGCAGGUGGAAGAGGGUAGCAAUAACAGGUCCGUGAUGCCCUUUAGAUGCUCUGGGCUGCACGCGUGCUACAAUGUUAGGAUCAAUAGGACUGCGAGCCUGAGAGGGUGCGCUACUCUUAUAAUCCCUAACGUAGUUGGGAUUGACGUUUGUAAUCAGCGUCAUGAACCAGGAAUCCCUUGUAAAUGUGUGUCAACAACGCACGUUGAAUACGUCCCUGCCCUUUGUACACACCGCCCGUCGCUCCUACCGAUUGGAUGACUCGGUGAAAUCACCGGAUGCUUACGAGCAGAAAGUGAUUAAAUCACGUUAUCUAGAGGAAGGAGAAGUCGUAACAAGGUAACGGUAGGUGAACCUGCCGUUGGAUCAGUU